UUCUGGCCAUGCCUCUGCAAAAUACUCGAGCAAAGUACUUGAGAAUAUUUGCAAAACUUUAACCUUUUGCAUCUACGGAUGAGCCCGUGCCCUUCCUUCCUUGGUAAAGAUUCCGUACCGACCGAGACGAAGGGAUCGUUCUUAUUAUACAUAAGAUGCAAGAAAUUGGCGGGAAAAAUAGAAGACAGUUUUGUGGUCCGGUGCUACUCAGGCAAAACUACAGACUAGAGAAAUUAGAAUUGGGCAGGCAGCGGGCAGGCCCUUCUUCGCGAAGGUCUUCGUCUUCGUCCGUUAGUUCGAGAAAAUUGAUAACCGAGAAAUGAAACAAAUGAGAAAUAAAAGACAGUUUGUAAAAUAGAAGACAGAGCGUGAGCUGUAAAAAAAAAUACUCGUGGACGGGGAGGGUAAGGCGUAAGGAAUAGUUUCGAGGCGAUACCCAUGUCCACGAGCGCGCAAGACGCUUCGAAAUACACGGGUCGAGCCGUCGUCGAUGCCGACGACACGGGAUACUAAUCGUUCAUUCGGCGAUCGCUGAUCAGUGAUCGGGGGCCUCCUUCGAGCCACGUCUCGGCUACACCGAUAUCCUCGUAAGAGAGCGGGAGACGGGGAAGUAGGAUAUUAUUUUCUUCAGAUACCAUUACCACGCCGAUCACGGUGGUCCUGCCUCGCAGACGAGUGGCCCCGAUACCCUCGAGAUCACUGGCUUGUAAUGCCUUCCCUUUCGUGGAUUAUUGACCAGUGAACGGUGAGCCCGGCCGCGAAACACCCAGACGCUACCUAUUCCACUUGCCGACCUGCAACGCCACCCUCUGCGACUGUCGUCACCUUACGGAAUCUUCCUCUUGUCGCAAGAACGCUCGACCGUCUUCCUCGCCAACAUUCGCCAGAAGUAUCAUUUCAUUCUUUUCACUCGAGGUUUAUCUAAGAAUGUUACCUACCGUUCCUUAUUUUCCUCGUGAGCUAUGUGUUCAGAGUCCAGAAUACAGAGUCCAGAAUACAGAGUCCAGAAUACAGAGCCUAGAAUACAGAGCCUAGAAUACAGAGUCUAGAAUACAGAGUUCAGAGUACAGAGUCCUCCAGGAUGAAGAAACGAAAGAAAAGAUCAACUCGGAAGGAAUCAGUUACUCGAAAGAUUCAUGCCCAAGUCUCCCAUAAGACCAAGUAACGGAUCGAUGUAUCCCACGGUACCGUCGCCAACCGUCAGUCACCCUCCCACAUUCGGCCCUGUGGCGAAGAAUGCCGUGGUGCGAGAGGAACUCCUCCAGGUCGCUGGAAACGUUACAGUUCCGUGGAAUUGCGCGUUACUGUCGCAAGGGAAAGGGCGGGUCCGGUUUUCUACGGGGUCCUGCGUAAAUACCGUGGGCCCAAUCGGCUGGAAGCGUAAGCCAAUACCCAGGGUGUACACUCCGCGUGGCGCGGGCUCUUCUAUGCGACUCUACCUCGUUCUCCCUUUUGCUUCUCAUCUUUACACCCUCUCUUUUUCUCUUUCUCCCUCGCUCAUUCACCGGCUCGCAACGAACGUUACUCUAACAAUCGGUACAAGGCGUACUUCCGGAACGAAAACGAGAAUGAAUUUGACGUCCAGUCGAAUUUUUUAAUGCAUAAUUCAGUGGUCAAGCGCAUCCGACUAUAGAAUAUCCACAUAAUUGGGACCUCUAACAAACAUUAGUCUAACAAUUGGUACAAGGCGUACUUCCGGAACGAGAGGAACGAAUUCGACGUCCAAUCGAAUUUUUUAACGCAUAAUUCCUGGGUCAAGCUGUCGCCUCUCACGA